GAAAUGCGAUACGCAAUGCGAAUUGCAGAACCGUGAGUCAUCAGAUUUUUGAACGCAAGUGGCGAUAGUUUCGGCUAUCAUGUUUGUUUCAGUGUGCCCGGUUAAUUACAUCGUAGAAUAUAAUGUGAUUGAAAUCAUUCUCUCACAAAAUAUGGAGUAAUGUCAGUUUACUGACCUAACGAAAUAGUCACUAAUCGGUGAUAAUCGUUCAGGCCUUGGAAUCUGGUGAAUCAUUACUUAGAAUUAAAUUAUCCAAUCAUGACACCUGAAAUAAGCAAGAAUACCCGCUGAACUUAA
rnacentral:misc_RNA from 1 species